AGCGGCCGAUAUCUGAUUAGCUAGUUGGUGGGGUAAAAGCCUACCAAGGCGACGAUCAGUAGCUGGUCUGAGAGGACGACCAGCCACACUGGGACUGAGACACGGCCCAGACUCCUACGGGAGGCAGCAGUGGGGAAUUUUGGACAAUGGGGGAAACCCUGAUCCAGCAAUGCCGCGUGAGUGAAGAAGGCCUUCGGGUUGUAAAGCUCUUUUGUCAGGGAAGAAACGGUUCUGGAUAAUACCCGGAACUAAUGACGGUACCUGAAGAAUAAGCACCGGCUAACUACGUGCCAGCAGCCGCGGUAAUACGUAGGGUGCAAGCGUUAAUCGGAAUUACUGGGCGUAAAGCGUGCGCAGGCGGUUGUGCAAGACAGAUGUGAAAUCCCCGGGCUUAACCUGGGAACUGCAUUUGUGACUGCACGGCUAGAGUGUGUCAGAGGGGGGUAGAAUUCCACGUGUAGCAGUGAAAUGCGUAGAUAUGUGGAGGAAUACCGAUGGCGAAGGCAGCCCCCUGGGAUAACACUGACGCUCAUGCACGAAAGCGAGGGGAGCAAACAGGAUUAGAUACCCUGGUAGUCCACGCCCUAAACGAUGUCAACUAGUUGUCGGGUCUUAAUUGACUUGGUAACGCAGCUAACGCGUGAAGUUGACCGCCUGGGGAGUACGGUCGCAAGAUUAAAACUCAAAAGGAAUUGACGGGGACCCGCACAGGCGGUGGAUGA
rnacentral:rRNA from 1 species